GUGAACACACGAGACGAACACAUUGACCAUCGGCGCUACUUAAAAAGGAAAAGAUAAACAGCAUCCUGCUGCGCGAAGCAAAAGCCGUACCAAACUAGACGUCCAAGCAACCGCUUCCCUCUCUUCUCUUGCUCUGCUCGUCUCCAGUCCACCCUGCUCGCAUCGCACCGACCGAUCCGAUGGACCGCGCCGAUCCCGCGCGGGGCCGCCUCGCCGUGCUCUCCUCCCACCUCCUCGCCGCCGGCGCGGACCCCGCGGCCGCGCUGGGGAGGUCGCCGGCGUCGGCCGCGGCCCCGGGGGCCCGCGCCGGCGUGCUCGCCGUGGUGGACUCGAGGACCGGGAAGCGGUACGAGGUCAAGGUUUCGGAGGACGGCACCGUCCGCGCCACAGACUUCAAGAAGAUUACCACUGGGAAAGAUGACAAGGGUCUUAAGACUUACGAUCCUGGUUAUCUCAACACUGCCCCUGUGCGUUCUUCCAUCUGCUACAUUGAUGGGGAUGAGGGAAUUCUUCGCUACAGGGGUUAUCCAAUUGAGGAGGUGGCCGAAAGCAGUUCGUUUGUUGAGGUCGCCUACCUCUUAAUGUACGGGAACUUGCCCACUCAGAGUCAACUGGCAGGCUGGGAAUUUGCAAUUUCACAGCACUCUGCUGUUCCUCAAGGACUCUUGGAUAUCAUACAAUCAAUGCCUCACGAUGCCCACCCCAUGGGUGUCCUUGCCAGUGCAAUGAGCACACUUUCUGUCUUCCACCCAGAUGCAAACCCUGCCCUUAGAGGGCAAGAUCUGUACAACUCAAAGCAGGUUAGGGAUAAGCAAAUUGUGCGAGUUCUUGGGAAGGCACCAGCAAUAGCAGCUGCAGCCUACCUGAGACUAGCAGGAAGGCCUGCUGUCCUUCCUUCAAAUAAUCUUUCUUAUUCAGAGAAUUUCUUGUAUAUGCUAGACUCUUUGGGUAACAAAGAAUAUAAGCCAAAUCCCCGACUUGCACGGGUUCUAGAUAUCCUUUUUAUUCUCCAUGCUGAACACGAAAUGAACUGCUCAACAGCUGCUGUUAGGCACCUUGCUUCAAGUGGUGUCGAUGUCUUCACUGCUCUUUCUGGCGCUGUUGGAGCUCUAUAUGGUCCACUGCAUGGUGGCGCAAAUGAGGCGGUACUUAAAAUGUUGAAUGAGAUUGGAGCUGUGGAGAAUAUUCCAGAUUUCAUUGAGGGAGUGAAGAACAGGAAACGGAAAAUGUCAGGUUUUGGGCACCGUGUGUAUAAGAAUUAUGAUCCUCGUGCUAAAGUCAUCCGAAAGUUAGCAGAGGAGGUUUUCUCUAUUGUUGGACGGGAUCCUCUUAUCGAGGUUGCUGUUGCUUUGGAGAAGGCAGCACUGUCAGACGAUUAUUUUAUCAAGAGGAAGCUGUAUCCAAAUGUGGAUUUUUACUCAGGCCUGAUUUACAGAGCGAUGGGAUUCCCUACAGAAUUUUUCCCUGUGUUAUUUGCAAUUCCUCGCAUGGCUGGUUGGCUAGCACAUUGGAAGGAGUCACUUGAUGACCCUGACAAUAAAAUUAUGAGGCCUCAACAGGUAUACACGGGCGUUUGGCUGAGGCACUACACCCCUGUGAGGGAACGAGUGGCAUCUAACCAGGGCGAGGAGCUCGGUCAGAUCGCUGCAUCAAACGCAACGAGGCGUCGCCGUGCUGGUUCUUCCCUGUAGAACAGCAGCAGGCACGGAUGCAUGGUGCAGCAUCCAGCCCACGCAAUAAACCAGGCUGCUGUCGUUGCCCCUCACAACGCCGCAGCGGCUCGAGUCCGGGAGCUGUUAUCCUUCUGGUGUCACCAAGACACUUAGCAGUUGCCAUGCAAUAAACUUCUAGUAAAAGGCACGCUGUGGACACUAUCUAUGCACACACUUCCAGUUUCCAGCUUCAUCUCUGCAUGCAUGCAAUGUGAGCUCAUGAUUGGAAAAAAUAAUCAUACUCCCUCCGUCCCAAAAUAAGUCUUAACUUUAGAGGGAGUAGUUGAUGGCAUGUCGGUCUUCGUAAGAGUGUGCAUAUUAGUGCGGUGCGUAGGAUUCGAUCCCUGGCCAGCAAUGAAAAAUCAUGCCAUUUGACCGUUAGUUAACGCGCUAUUUAGUUCUUUUUUACCUUGGGAAAAAGUUCCCUUUUUCAGUUAAAAACGUGUUACUAUUUUAUCGAACCUGGACGGACCAACGGUUGUACCGGUGCUCCAGCAGCAUGUCCGGUUCAUUCGUCGGUCUAGGUUUUCAAAACUAUGCUCUAAUGAUGUUGGAUUUACAAUCACACUGAUGCGAUUUAUGUGCGUGGCGCUGACUGUGCUUCCGUUUGGCCAGACCGGUGGACUGUUCGUUGCUGCUCUUUCGGUGAUGUUCCCUGUAGUUGGCAACGUUCUGGGUGUUGUGUUUGGUCGUUGCAUGGUACUCACUCCGUUCGGAAAUACUUGUCCUAGAAAUGGUUGUAUUUAGACUUAUUUUAGUUAUAGAUACAUCUAUUUUAUCCAUUUGUCAGUAUUUUUGGAUAGAGGAAGUAGGCGGUACUUCAAUGAACUACGUGUGGUUGUUUGUGCGGGUUUGAUUGCCGGGGGUGGUGCCUUCGUGGUCAAACCUGCAAAAUCGCAUACGGAGGACAUGAAUAUAGCAAAGGCGUAGCGGAGCGCGCCAUUCUGUCUAGUUCAUUUUCGUAUCAUAUGGUUACUGUCUUCAGUUUUUUGCUGUUGUAACUUGCUACCUUGCUCUGUUUUAUAUCUCUGUUUUUGGAUCUGUGCAUGCUAUUUCCUUUCUGGAUCACAUCCCAUGUCUUCUUGAGCAAUAGUAAUACACUGAUGCAAUGAGGAGACACACUGCUGACUCUCACUCGUUUGUUCCACCAUUGAUGUUUGUUCCAAGCUUGACCGGGAGCAGUGGGUUAGGUUGGACCAAUGACAGAAGUGGUGAGGCAUUCAUGUGGAAGUUUAUCUCAUUACACUGGACUAGAGUCAACGGCUGUUAACAUGCUUCUUGAUGUCGCCCGUUCCGAAGAAGCAAAGCCAAACAAAUUCCUGCCUCCCCUUGGGCAUCUAAGACCUGCAUGCGUUCUUGUCGAGAGAGGAUUGAGUAUGUAGAUAUUUAUAGAUGUAGAAUAGUAAGAAAGAGUCGCAAAAAAAAAAGCGAGGAAAAUUAUGAGGUGGAAACAUUUAAGAACCUAGAUGCACAUAAGUAAUUAGAGGUACUGCUCCGUCAAAACUUUACUACGAGACUUUGGGCAUGAUAGGUAGGCUGCAUCAACCGAUCAGGAAUGUCACACACACAAGCUAUGACUGUCUGGUUAUCUGUAUGCGCCCACCAUAUGUUAACAUGAGUUGCUCCAUUGCUUACAAUGACUACUCUAGACGACCGUAUAUUAAUAUGAGUUGCUC
rnacentral:rRNA from 1 species